AAGACUCUACAACAUGGCGUGUAACUCUCUAUAUAUAUAUCUCUUCAUUCAAUGUACCACCUUCAUGCCUCCACCGAUUUCAUGAUAUUAAAUGCCACUACUAGCUUAGCUAUCACACCUGAGAUUUUGGAGGAAACCGAAUUCCACUUCACCAUGCUUCGGUUUACAUAACUUUUAAUUGACAAUACAAGGAAAAGAGGAAAAUGGUUUUCUCAGUUGGUUGUCCAGAACCCACCCUGCUCGCAUUUAGCGAUGCAUUGCCACGAUAGACCGACUUUUAUGGCUUUGAAAUACAGAGGUCAAUACAGCCAUGGAAGGCUUGUUGAGCCUAGUGUUCACCAUGGGACCGUAUCACAUUCCCUACUUCAAUUGGAGCCCAACAGAAUUUCAAAAUAAAUGUAAAGAACUCCGAUGCAUCAGCAUCGUGAUGGAGCUAUGUUUUGAACCUGUUCAGUAGAGAGUUUUAAUGUACUUCUUUUAAUUCGGUAGAAAGUUUACAUUUUGGAUCAAACGGCUUAUAUUUACUUCAUACUUUAGCACUGUGUAAGUUGGAUGAUCAGGGUUGUCCAAUGAACAUGUACUCCUCAAUCACCCACUGGUGUACUCACCUCUAGUAGAAGAAACAGUGGACUGAAAGAAAAAAAAUAUGCAAAUAAUAUAUUAAAAAACAUUAUCUCCGGCGAAUAAAAUCUCCAAUCGUCGCUUGUUUCUUGGUGGAUGCGAUAUUUGUUAGUCUUUGGUGCGAUAUUUCUUUGGUAUUCGGCGCGGACAUUCGGCACCCCUUCAUCGAUGGAUAGAAGUAGCGACUAACGACAGAUGUUUCCAAGAUGAAGGCUUCAGACAUACUGAUGUAUUACUUUAUAAGGUCUUUGUGAAUAAUUAAUAAAGCGACCGCAUGCAUCUAAGCAGAUGCAGAGGCCGGAGGUCAUCCUUCUUUUCUAAAAAAAUGUACCAUGUCCCCGACGUAAGUAAGAAAAAUUAAAGUUAAAAAUACUAGCCCUCGACCCAAAAAGUUUCAUACAUGAGUCUUCGUGAUUUAUUGUUGAACAAUCAUUGUGCAAAAUAUAUCCAUGUAUGAUUUGUAUAAAAGCGCAUGUUUCUGUAAAAUUUUCCCAAAAUAAUAUUAGAAAUUCUAUCAUAAGUACUUACAUCAUCUCUAACCGAACUCUCAAAAAG
rnacentral:lncRNA from 1 species